rnacentral:rRNA from 1 species
AAUAAGCGGAGGAAAAGAAACUAACAAGGAUUCCCCUAGUAACGGCGAGUGAAGAGGGAAGAGCCCAAGAUUGAAAGCUGGCGUCUUCGGCGUCCGCAUUGUAAUCUCAAGAAGUGUUUUCCGCUUCGGACCAUGCCUAAGUCCCUUGGAAAAGGGCAUCAUAGAGGGUGAUAAUCCCGUACAUGGCAUGGAGCGCCCGAAGCUUUGUGAUACGCUUUCUAAGAGUCGAGUUGUUUGGGAAUGCAGCUCAAAAUGGGUGGUAAAUGCCAUCUAAGGCUAAAUAUUGGGGAGAGACCGAUAGCGAACAAGUACAGUGAUGGAAAGAUGAAAAGAACUUUGAAAAGAGAGUUAAACAGUACGUGAAAUUGCCAAAAGGGAAGGGUAGGAGGUCAGAGAUGCGGCCUAGGAUUCAGCCUUGCUUUUGCUUGGUGUUUUUCCUAGGUUGCAGGCCAACGUCGGUUUUGGGCACUGGAGAAGGGUGGAAGGAAUGUGGCACCUCUCGGGGUGUGUUAUAGCCUUCUACUGGAUACAGCGACCGAGACCGAGGACAGCAGCGUACCCGCAAGAGCGGGCCUUCGGGCACCUUUACGCU